GACGAAUGCUGGCUGCGUGCUUAACACAUGCAAGUCGAACGGUGAAAGGGAGCUUGCUCCCUGGAUCAGUGGCGAACGGGUGAGUAACACGUGGGCAACCUGCCCCUCACUCUGGGAUAACUCCGGGAAACCGGGGCUAAUACCGGAUACGACCUGGUGCGACAUCGCACCGGGUGGAAAGAACUUCGGUGAGGGAUGGGCCCGCGGCCUAUCAGCUUGUUGGUGGGGUAACGGCCCACCAAGGCGACGACGGGUAGCCGGCCUGAGAGGGCAACCGGCCACACUGGGACUGAGACACGGCCCAGACUCCUACGGGGGGCAGCAGUGGGGAAUAUUGCGCAAUGGGCGAAAGCCUGACGCAGCGACGCAGCGUGAGGGACGAAGGCCUUCGGGUUGUAAACCUCUUUCAGCGGGGACGAAGCGAGAGUGACGGUACCCGCAGAAGAAGCACCGGCUAACUACGUGCCAGCAGCCGCGGUAAUAC
rnacentral:rRNA from 1 species